AAAACGGAAGGAGGUUUUGGAUGUGUCCUAACUAUGCACAUGACAAGGCCAAGCCAAGAAACCCAUACGACUACCCACCGUCUCCUCCACCUCUUUGUCAAUUCUGAAGUGGAUAGAUUUGGAGCAAUUAACUUCUCACAAGGAAGAGGUUGCAUAUGAGGAGGGAAGGAAGUGGAACUAUAUGUUUAAUUUGAUUCGUGAGGAGGAGCGGGAGAAAAAAAUUAAGAUUAGGCUUGAGAAUCAACGUUUGGAGAAAGAGAAAAAGGAGCAAGAAGAGAAGGACCUCCGUGAGGUGGAACGGGAGAAAAAGAGAGAGAGAGGGCUCGUCGUGCAGGGGAGGAUGCGGAAGCGCAAGAAGAUGCAACCAAACGGAAGGGAAAAUACCCCCGUUGGACUCAGUAGAUUCAUGUGUUGAACUAUAAAUCUUUAGAAUUUGUUGUUGUGAACUUGUAGGCUCAAUGCCACCUAUUUGAUGAACUUUUGUUUGUAUCGUGCACUUAAAUCUUGUAAACCUUGAAGUCGGAUUUUGUUGUUAUAUGAUUUUAAGAUUGGAGAAUUUAUUGUUGUGAACA